rnacentral:rRNA from 14 species
UUUAGGUAGAGCGUCAUCCGAAUACCCCCGGGGGUAGAGCACUGGAUGGGUAAUGGGGCCCCACAGGCUUACUGAUCCUAACCAAACUCCGAAUACCGGGGAGUACUAGAUGGCAGACACACAGCGGAUGCUAACGUCCGUUGUGGAGAGGGAAACAACCCUGACCUACAGCUAAGGCCCCCAAUUCAUGGCUAAGUGGGAAAGCAGGUGGGACGACCAAAACAACCAGGAGGUUGGCUUAGAAGCAGCCACCCUUUAAAGAAAGCGUAAUAGCUCACUAGUCGAGU